rfam:Oryza meridionalis cultivar OR44 (W2112) chromosome 8, whole genome shotgun sequence.
AUCACAUGGUGAGGACAAGCGGCCACAUAUUCCUGCAGUCGCUCCCAUGCUUCAGGAAUUGACUCGUCCAUCGUCUGCUGGAAGCUUGAGAUUCUUCCGCGAAGGGC